rnacentral:misc_RNA from 1 species
UUGAAUGUCGCCUCGAUGGGUUGUCGCUGGCUGCAACUGCAGCAUUGUGCACGCCUGUCUUGACUUCUAUUCGUCCACCUGUGCACCUUUUGUAGUCUUUCGGAGGGCUGGGGAGAGCAUGUCUGUGCUUGAACCUCCCACUGGGGGCUAUGUUUUCUCUUCAUAUACCACUUUGCAUGUCACAGAAUGUUGUCAAUGGGCGUUCGUGCCUAUAUAAAAUCUAUA